AAUAUUGCGCAAUGGAGGAAACUCUGACGCAUCGACGCCGCGUGAGCGAUGAAGGUCUUCGGAUCGUAAAGCUCUGUCCUUGGGGAAGAAGGUCUUCGGACUUGACGGUACCCCAGGAGGAAGCCCCGUCUAACUACGUGCCAUCAGCCGCGGUAAUCCGUAGGGGGCAAGCGUUGUCCGGAAUUAUUGGGCGUAAAGGGUGCGUAGGCGGCCUUUUAAGUCAGAUGUGAAAGCCCACGGCUUAACCGUGGGACUGCAUUUGAAACUGGAGGGCUUGAGUAUCGGAGAGGGUAGUGGAAUUCCCAGUGUAGCGGUGGAAUGCGUAGAUAUUGGGAGGAACACCAGUGGCGAAGGCGACUACCUGGACUGAUACUGACACUGAGGUGCGAAAGCGUGGGGAGCAAAC
rnacentral:rRNA from 1 species